UAGGGAAUCUUCCACAAUGGACGCAAGUCUGAUGGAGCAACGCCGCGUGAGUGAAGAAGGUCUUCGGAUCGUAAACUCUGUUGUUAGGGAAGAACACGAGUGAGAGUAACUGUUCAUUCGAUGACGGUAUCUAACCAGCAAGUCACGGCUAACUACGUGCCAC
rnacentral:rRNA from 1 species